rnacentral:misc_RNA from 1 species
GUUUAUAUAUGCAUAUCUAUAAGAGGAAGUCGGCUGUAUAGCCGCCACUUAAAUUUUAUGUAUGCAUGUGUGUGUGGGUUGAUGACUUGAUGUGAUGAUGAGAAGAUGCCUUUGGAUUUGGAUUCGAUCCAAACCGGUCCCCUUUUCAAAUGCUGGAAUCAAUAUAUGUUGGCUAAGCAAAACCACGGGCGUGACCCCAUUUGUGUCUUUUGUAUAUACAUGGCG